UAAUGUUGGCCCCUAUGGUGGUAGGAGCAUCCAAAACCUCCCCCUCCAAUACCGGAGAAUACAUCUCUCGGAUUGAACUUGAAAUUUUCCCCCUUGCUGGGGUAACAAUAGUAGUUACUCCUGCUGCUUCAUCUUCUUCUCUCAUCUUUCUCUUUUCUUUAUCUUUCCUUGAUUUUUUUCAAGCUCUCUUUAGAGAUAUGCUAUUCCUGUUGCUCUAGUGUGAUUGUUGAUCUCUUUCUCCUCUUUUCUUUUUUCCUUACAACUCGCUCAUCCAUGGGCUGCUUUUCUUUAUCUUUGACCGGUCUUUGCAUCAGAUCUAAAAUAUCCUCAUCAUCGUGAUUUGCCACUAAGGUUGGGUCUAAAAUAGUCUGGUGUAGUUGCCUUCUCUUUAACUCUGAUAUAUCAGCCUUUGCCUGCUCAAAUUCAGCCGUGAGCUUUGCAAUAUUAGGGAGGGACAAUGCAUCUAGCCUUUGGUUGAUGUGGUGCUCCAUGUUGUCCAUCCUAAAGUGAAUAGUCUAGAAUAGACGGAAUUCCUCAACUGCAAUUUCAUCAACAAAAGGCUUAAAUUUUGAUGCCCAUUUAUCUAAAUAUCUCUGAAACCUCUUUUGCAGCUUCACCGAUUUUGCAAAAUUCUCUUAUGUGAACCUGUAUUUGGCAAAGUCUGCUCCUCCCAUUUAUUGUGCAGAACCCAACCCUGUAGAAGUACCUGGAGGCACAUAUUCUAGUGUCACAUAAGUGGUGAUAGGCAAUGGCAUACCUGCAGGAAUUUCUGUAGCUUCAAGAGUUGGUGCAGAUUGAGUCUGGUAAGUUGGAGGCUUGGUGACACGCAUAUUGAGCUUCGAUUCAUGUUUUGACUUCUUAAUGUCCUAUCUAUAUAUAGCCGGGAUUUCAUUGUCAACUCCAUGAAUCAGGGGCACACCGGCCUAUUUGCAUAAUUAGUGAUUAAGCAUGGGAAUGGCAAUGCACUCCUUAUUUUAUAUGCACUCAUAAACAUGUCAACCAUAA
rnacentral:lncRNA from 1 species